UACGUAGGGUGCAAGCGUUGUCCGGAAUUAUUGGGCGUAAAGAGCGUGUAGGCGGCCCGAUUAGUCCGCUGUGAAAGUCCAGGGCUCAACCCUGGAAUGCCGGUGGAUACUGUCGGGCUAGAGUCCGGAAGAGGAGUGUGGAAUUCCCGGUGUAGCGGUGAAAUGCGCAGAUAUCGGGAAGAACACCCGUGGCGAAGGCGGCACUCUGGGACGGUACUGACGCUGAGACGCGAAAGCGUGGGGAGCGAACAGG
rnacentral:rRNA from 1 species